rnacentral:lncRNA from 1 species
UAAUAAAUUCAUAUUAUGGCGAGAUAUUAUUUUUCGUAGUGAUUGGCUCAUUUUAAUUGAUUUGAUUAGAUUGAUGUGAUAAAUGGUGUUUAUUGAGUUAAAUGUUAAUUGUGCCUGAUUGAGGCAGAUUUGUACCAUUCAUGGGUGGCCAUAAAUGAUGGCGUAUAUUUGGGCUUGUAAGAAGCAAUUUACUAAUUUUAAUUACUUCAGUGUCUAACCAAAGAUCCUUCUUUGG